rnacentral:rRNA from 1 species
UACCCUUGACAUGCCUGGAAUUGUGCAGAGAUGUGCAAGUGCUCGAAAGAGAACCAGGACACAGGUGCUGCAUGGCCGUCGUCAGCUCGUGUCGUGAGAUGUUGGGUUAAGUCCCGCAACGAGCGCAACCCUUGUCAUUAGUUGCUACGAAAGGGCACUCUAAUGAGACUGCCGGUGACAAACCGGAGGAAGGUGGGGAUGACGUCAGGUCCUCAUGGCCCUUAUGGGUAGGGCUACACACGUCAUACAAUGGCCGGUACAGAGGGCUGCCAACCCGCGAGGGGGAGCUAAUCCCAGAAAACCGGUCGUAGUCCGGAUCGCAGUCUGCAACUCGACUGCGUGAAGUCGGAAUCGCUAGUAAUCGCGGAUCAGCUUGCCGCGGUGAAUACGUUCCCGGGUC